UUAAACUUCAGUAAAAUACUAUACGAUAAGUUACGGUUAGUCAGUUAGUUUUUAACUUCGUUUGCGUUUAUUUAUCUAGGGAUUGGUCCCAAUAUCCCUAUGUUAUUCGAAUGUGAAAUUUCCUUGAUCCUGACACCUGGUGCUACUCAUAAGCAACGCCGACCGACGCGUCAAAGUUCAGUAGGUCAGUUCCAUUUUCCUAGCGCGCGUAUAACGCAAUUCGGACGAUUACUAUAGUCUGCCGCUUAAAUUGACACCUGGGUUACGCGAACGAAAGCCGUCGCAUCUCAUCAGCAGUUGUUUAAAAUUAUUUGCAUUGGAAUUUCGGUGCUCCAUCGAUAAUCGCAUGUCCGCGGACAAUGGACUUAUCGGUAUUCGUACAGCGACUAUUUAAUGUGUAGAGAGAAACUCUGUAAAACUAGCUAGCAAACGUUCUAGGGAAUUUUUUAUAUGGACAGAUAAGUAGGUUAUUUUAUUCGAUCUUCACUAAACUUCGAAUAUUAUUGCUCCGAGUCACUAGAAACUAAUUUGGAAACGAAUUUCUAGUAAAUCGAUGUUUCGAAGCAAUUGUGAAAUAAGCUGCUCGAGAAAGAUAUGGAGAAUAAUCUGUAUGCAGACGGUAAUAUCAUGUUCGUACUGAUCAAACAUAGUUGCAGCAGUUGAAGGCACCGAGAUGAAAUUAAGGUUAUGCAUUCGCACCUCGUUUUGUUCCUCGACGACAAAGUUUUCGGGUCAUCGUUCUCUCGUCAAGAGAAUCUAGAUUGAUCGACGAAACUAGGGCAAGGUUGUAUUUAUCGGUCUGGGUUAGGUCACCCGUUAUAUGCGAUACGUUCAGAUUCUUUUUUAUUCCAUUUCGAUCGCAAAUCACGCGCUAUUAAGCUAAGUCUUUCGUGCAUAUGUACUCUAGCUUUUUCUACAACUAGGAUCGUUUGCGAGGAGCUACAUCAACACCAGAGCCGUUCGUCGGCCGAUAAAUAACAUGUAUAAUAGUGACAGAAUUUGUCUGAAAAAGUUCUACAUUUAAAUACGAGGUUCCUAAUUUAUACAUUUGCUAAUAUAGGAUGUAAAAAAAUAUAUUGCAGUCGUCGUUUAAUUCGAGCGUGUGAAUCUGUCUAUAAAAAAAAUGUAAAUUUUCAUAAGCGCAGUCUAAUUACUGGUGUAGAUAAACCACAUGGUAAGGCGCAUUGAAAGUACGAAUAACGAGACCGUGUUCCGUCGAUGCAUAUAAAGGAAAGAAAAUGCAAUGAGGUCAGCGACACUCGACGUCAGCAAUUAAGGAUUAAGACAGAUCCUCGUCACCAAUUCACGUUUCAAAAACGAUCGGCAAUGAGUCAUAUCGAAUUACCAGGUCACUGCGACCCAAAUAAAAAUCAUUGCUUUUAAAAAGAUACUUGACAUAGUAACAAGUUCGCUGGAUAUCGCCAUUCUCGCAGAGAAGCUGUACCAGCUGUAAUCCUCAACUUGUCCUGGACCAAUUAAAAAGUCCUGAUCCAAUGAGAUCCAAUUAACUGGAACCAUUUCGAACGUGUGAGACGUUGAAAUCGAAUGACCAAAAGACGGUUCAGCGGCAACGUUCGAUCCUGUAGUUCCAGACUUUUUUCAGCAGACUACGAUCGAUUAGGUCAGGUGUUAGAAAUGAUCCUAAACCACGCGAAUCUGUGACCACACGCAUUUUCACUAGUGAAAGCAAGUGAUUUCCAACAAUUGUAAUUUUUCUGCUCGGAUAUAAGGAGUACUUACUGUUUUAUGGCUUCACGGAUAGCACACUACCGAACGUCCAUGCUCGAAUGUGAUCGUCUUCAAUCAUGCCGGCAAGAAACAACCACGAAAUUUUCGAGAGAGAAAUUGGCCGCUAACGUUAUGUCUCGGGCCGCUGUUACCGAGUGGACAGCCCCUGAUGCCGUUAUCUCACUACCAAUAUUCCGAAAACGUCGAAGGUCAACUGGAUGCUAAUUUGUGAAAAAAAAAGAAGAAAUUCAAAUUUUACGAUCGUGUUCCCUACGGUGGUUUGAGGCAGAGUAGGAAGGGGGGGGGGGAAGGCUGGCAUGACUAAUAGCCAAAUCAAAGUUAAUGACCGACGAACUGUCCAAGGAUGCGGCCUUGACAGAAAAAUCUUUUUUGAUCCGACACGCUCGAAGUGUGCAGUGACUGUCAAACGCCCUCGAUUAAUCCGGAAUUAUACAAGCAGUUCGGGGUUCAUUACAAUUUCGAGAAUAAUGCAUGCAGAGAUUGAGAAACUAUUCUAGAUACACGGGGGGAAUUGGGCCAUACAAAUUUUUUAACUUUUUCAUUCAUAUGGCGCGCAUCGGUUGCAAAGUGGACGAACUUUUCAUGCAACGUGAUACACAUAUUUCGAUUGCCCACGCAAAGAGGAUAAAUAAUCGCGCAGUUGUAACGAAACAUGGAAGCGGAUCCGAGUGCGAAGGGUUUAAGAAAUCUAACAUCCCUGCACGUAUUCAUGCUCGGCGCAGGUUGCGAAUUUUCUCAUCUCCGUCGUGAGCGGAGGUGCGCGCUGUGUGUCGCCGCGCGGAGAGGGACAGCGAAGCAGGCCGCGAGAAAACGAGAGACGGAAAAAGAGAGGAGAGAGACUGUAGGAAGGGAGCGGAGAGGAGAGGAAAGGAGAGGAGAGGAGAGGAGAGGCGAGGCGGAGUGCACCGUUCGUACCAGGCGGUGCGCCCUGGUACCGGCGCGGCGGGCAGGCCGACAGACUCGGACAGACUCGGCGAGACUCGAUCAGAAAAGUCGAGGAAGAGGAGAGGAGUCGAGGAGGAGGGAAGCCGGAGAAGUGCACUACUCGCCUACCUUCGUUCCUCGCUAUGGAUCUUUUUUCCUUUUUCUCUCUGUUAGCGCGCGCGCGCGCACGAGCGAGCGAGCGAGCGAGCGAGAUCCUCUCUCGCGACCUUCUCUAGCCGGGAGAGCCUCCUCUUCGUGAGAUGAUACCCGGACACGUGUUUUUGAAUUAUUCAGGAUCCUCUUUUUCGGACUCUCCGUGGUCUUUAUCGUUCCUUUUUCGGCGUUUCUUAUUAUUUGCUCGAGAAAUCUGUAUAUUUUUUCAACUUGUAAAUGUUAGUUUGUCAAUCCUACCGCGUUUUUGCGCUGUAACCGUGAAAGCUAUGCGAUCGACUCUUGCGUGGGCUGAUUCUGCAUGCUUUCUUGGGCUUAACGAUGUUUUGGAUUUAUGGAUAUUUUGGAAGCAAGUUGAGGAACGGUGAGAGUCCGAGGCAAGACGGUAGCUACUGCGCUACCGCAUAGAGCGGAUAGAUCAAAAUAUUCAAAGGCAUGUUCGUAGAAUCAUUUUAUCUAACGAGUAACCGCGUGGCUAUAAUUGUUAAAGCUUGAUGCAUCGUCGAAGAUGAAAAUUUACGCAACAGAUAGGUGAUGUAACGAAUAAAAUGGAAAUAUGAAAUUCUUCCGUAUCCGACGUUCUUCCCCCGACUUAUCUGCUAUAUGUAGACAUUUAGAUUAGACAUUUUCUUCUUAAUCGUUAAUCCUGAAAAACUUCAGAAUUUGUAAGAAAAAUGUAAACAAUGCUGCAAUAGGAUAGAUGCUUCUCUUUAA